CCUACGGGAGGCAGCAGUGAGGAAUAUUGGACAAUGGACGAGAGUCUGAACCAGCCAAGUAGCGUGAAGGAUGACUGCUCUAUGGGUUGUAAACUUCAUUUAUAAAGGAAUAAAACGAGGCACGUGUGCAUUUUUGCAUGUACUUUAUGAAUAAGGAUGGGCUAACUCCGUGCCAGCAGCCGCGGUAAUACGGAGGAUCCGAGCGUUAUCCGGAUUUAUUGGGUUUAAAGGGAGCGUAGAUGGGUUGUUAAGUCAGUUGUGAAAGUUUGCGGCUCAACCGUAAGAUUGCAAUUGAUACUGGCAGGCUUGAGUACAGGUGAGGUAGGCGGAAUUCGUGGUGUAGCGGUGAAAUGCUUAGAUAUCACGAAGAACCCCGAUUGCGAAGGCAGCUUACUAAACUGUGACUGACAUUGAGGCUCGAAAGUGUGGGUAGCAAACAGGAUUAGAUACCCCAGUAGUC
rnacentral:rRNA from 1 species